CUACGGGCUGCUGCAGUGAGGAAUAUUGCACAAUGGGGGAAACCCUGAUGCAGCAACGCCGCGUGGAGGAUGACGCAUUUCGGUGUGUAAACUCCUUUUAUGAGUCAAGAAAAUGACGGUAGCUCAUGAAUAAGCACCGGCUAACUCCGUGCCAGCAGCCGCGGUAAUACGGAGGGUACAAGCGUUACUCGGAAUCACUGGGCGUAAAGGACGCGUAGGCGGGUUGUCAAGUCAGGUGUGAAAUCCUACAGCUUAACUGUAGAACUGCACUUGAAACUGGCAACCUAGAGUAUGGGAGGGGGAGAUGGAAUUAGUGGUGUAGGGGUAAAAUCCGUAGAUAUCACUAGGAAUACCGAAAGCGAAGGCGAUCUCCUGGAACAUUACUGACGCUAAGGCGUGAAAGCGUGGGGAGCAAACAGGAUUAGAUACCCCCGUAGUC
rnacentral:rRNA from 1 species